UUUAAUUCUCAUGCGCAUUGCAGGUGGUACUUUGCGUAGCAGCAGCUCAGCCCAGCUCUGAUCCAUCUCUGAUCACUUGUCGUAUGAUUUGAGAUUGGUCGCUCUUCAAUUUGGCAGCUUGCAGCUCUUUCUUUCUCUCUGAUCUUGGCUCUCACCUCUCCCAAUCAAUCUCUCCUUAUCUUUUCAUUUAAGUUCUUUGAGAUCUUCCCACCGGAAGAGAGAUCGCAUACUUCUGCUCUGCACUCCAAAAGUCGUCGUCUUUCCUUCGUUUUUAAAAGUUUCUCUUCUCGUCUAAAAAGCUUGCUUGCUCGGAGUUCUCGCUGCUCCGCGAGCGAUUGAUAUUGAUAUAUGCGAGUGAUUGAUUGAUGGGGGGUAUUAACAAUGAGAGCAAAGAGAGUAAGUUUUACUCAUACUUCCUUCUUCCUUCCUCGUUCGUUUUGUGUGGUUUUCCAGCGAGGUGUCUGAGCUCCGGGUGUGCUCGUGUCUGAUAUCAUCCUUUCUUCUCCCUGCUCUGCCUGUGUUGGUCUCGAGUACUAUGGCGCCUGCAACUCUGAUGGAUUAGGACCGGGAAAUUGAUUGAUACGAGGGAAUUUAUGUUGGCAACACAAGCACAACGUGUUAGAAUUUUCUCCACUCUCAGUCAGCCAUGGAGAGCUCUUUCUUUCGCUCCCUCUCCACACCACAGCUCCGCGUUCAUCUGGCAUGGAGGAGAGUUAUAAAGAGAGCUCCAUGACAGCGACCAAGGAAGAAGAAAGGAACAAAAGAUGCGGGCUUGGACUUAAACCACUACUGAUCCACCUCUCUGGGUUGUUAAUGGCGGGUUUGCUCAAUCCAUAGCUGCUGGACACACAAAAACACAAAACUCAUUCUUUCUCUCUCAAGCGCACACAUUCUUUCUCACACUCAAAGAGCGGAAGUCUAGAGAGAGUGAGGGAGGAAAAAGAGAGCGACUUUGCAUAGUAGGCUGAGUACUUACUGCUCUUUCUGGUGCCAGAGAGAAUUUUUU
rnacentral:lncRNA from 1 species